UGGGGAAUAUUGCACAAUGGGCGCAAGCCUGAUGCAGCCAUGCCGCGUGUAUGAAGAAGGCCUUCGGGUUGUAAAGUACUUUCAGCGGGGAGGAAGGGAGUAAAGUUAAUACCUUUGCUCAUUGACGUUACCCGCAGAAGAAGCACCGGCUGACUCCGUGCCAGCAGCCGCGGUAAUACGGAGGGUGCAAGCGUUAAUCGGAAUUACUGGGCGUAAAGCGCACGCAGGCGGUUUGUUAAGUCAGAUGUGAAAUCCCCGGGCUCAACCUGGGAACUGCAUCUGAUACUGGCAAGCUUGAGUCUCGUAGAGGGGGGUAGAAUUCCAGGUGUAGCGGUGAAAUGCGUAGAGAUCUGGAGGAAUACCGGUGGCGAAGGCGGCCCCCUGGACGAAGACUGACGCUCAGGUGCGAAAGCGUGGGGAGCAAACAGG
rnacentral:rRNA from 1 species